UACGAAGGGGGCUAGCGUUGCUCGGAAUCACUGGGCGUAAAGCGCACGUAGGCGGCUUGUUAAGUCAGGGGUGAAAUCCUGGAGCUCAACUCCAGAACUGCCUUUGAUACUGGCGAGCUUCGAGUCCGGGAGAGGUGAGUGGAACUGCGAGUGUAGAGGUGAAAUUCGUAGAUAUUCGCAAGAACACCCGUGGCGAAGGCGGCUCUCUGGGACGGUACUGACGCUGAGACGCGAAAGCGUGGGGAGCGAACAGG
rnacentral:rRNA from 1 species